rfam:Desulfosporosinus meridiei DSM 13257, complete genome.
UACGUAAGCAGAAAAGCAAACUUCCGUUUAAGCGACCCAGAUACGGGGCAGUGCACACGGACGUGCACUGCCGCCAGUGAGCCAAGGAUGGCUCAUCUGGCGGGAACCCCGCUCCCCAGAGAAAAGAGCUUAAACGGUUAGUUUGCUCUGCGUCGUAA